rnacentral:rRNA from 1 species
UGAACCAGCAACUUCGAAGUUAAUGCAUCAUCGACUAUGUCGAAUAAAGUUCUAGGUAGAGUUAUGAUAAUGACAUUUUCUAUCUAUGUGUCUUGACCAAAUCACGUGCCAGCAGUCGCGGUAAUACGUGGAAGACUAGUGUUAUUCAUCUUUAAUAGGUUUAAAGGGUACUUAGACGGUAAAUUAAGCCCAGCAAAGGGUACUAAUUAUACUAGAGUUUGAUAAGAGGAGGGUGUGUACUAGUGGUGUAGAGAUGAAAUUCAGUUUAUGACAGGCAACGGCGAAAGCAACCUUUAGAUAAAAACUGACGUUGAAGGACGAAGGA